AUUGAACGCUGGCGGCAUGCUUUACACAUGCAAGUCGAACGGCAGCGCGGGCUUCGGCCUGGCGGCGAGUGGCGAACGGGCGAGUAAUGCAUCGGAACGUGCCCAGCAGUGGGGGAUAGCCCGGCGAAAGCCGGAUUAAUACCGCAUACGACCUGAGGGUGAAAGCGGGGGACCGAAAGGCCUCGCGCGUUUGGAGCGGCCGAUGUCGGAUUAGCUAGUUGGUGGGGUAAAGGCUUACCAAGGCGACGAUCCGUAGCUGGUCUGAGAGGACGACCAGCCACACUGGGACUGAGACACGGCCCAGACUCCUACGGGAGGCAGCAGUGGGGAAUUUUCGACAAUGGGGGCAACCCUGAUCCAGCCAUGCCGCGUGCGGGAAGAAGGCCUUCGGGUUGUAAACCGCUUUUGUUCGGGAAGAAAUCCUCUGGGCUAAUACCCCGGGGGGAUGACGGUACCGGAAGAAUAAGCACCGGCUAACUACGUG
rnacentral:rRNA from 1 species